GGAGCUUGGUCUGGGACACGUGGACCUGGACACCCUGGAGACCUCCAGGGCAGCCACACAGCAGCCUCGGCUGCCCACGGCUGGAGUUCCGCUCCUCAUCCUCGACACUGGGUGACAUCAACCUGGGAGUGGGGAGAGGCGCAGGCAGAGGAGAGAAGAGCUGGAGCCCUGUCCCCAGGCCCCAGCCCAUGUGAGGAGGUGGCAAGAGGAUUCACAAGGAGCACAGGAGACAGAGGGGGGCUCUGGGGUGAGCGCAUGGCCCUGGGUCUGAGUGGCGGGUGCUCCGAGGAGGAUCAAGGGCUCCGCGUAGGUCAAAUGAGAUAAGACAGAGCAGCAACAUUGGAGGCCACUGGGACCUCUACAGGAGAGGCUGCAAUGGGGUGGAGGACGGCAGGGCCCGGCAGGAGGCCACUCUGCACACCCCACACGGUCCCCGAGGAUUCAACUCGGAGUUCCAGGUGAGGUCUGUGUCUUUUUUAAAGGGAUGGGGGACAAGAGGUGCCUCUCCAAUGUCCCCCUGGGAUCCGGGGAGUGCAGGUGCCCAUGGUCACCAGAGGGAUGGGGCAAGCCAUUGUCGGUCAGCACUUGGGCCUGGGUGGGUGCCUGGCAGAGCUGGCCUGUGGGAGAUUUCUGGUGACUGUGACAGAGGGUGUUGGAAACAGAGAAAUAUACCACUUUGAGUCAGAGCUGAAGAAUCAGAAAUAUUGCCCUUUUUUUUUCCCCAAGUGGACAAAUUCUGAGAGUCCACGUGACAAGCCCUCCCAGAGUGGCCUGGGAAGGGUUUGCAAGGACUAAAAUGCUUCAACAAUGGAAACAUCCUGCUCCAGGAUGGCCCCAAGCUAUGCUUACACCAAGACUGAGGAGGCUAGAAUUAAAAUAAUAAGAAGCAUUUAUUGAGCACUUUCUAUGUGCCCGCCGGGCACAGCCUAAGUGCCUCCCGUAUGUUCCUGUUUUAAAGCACAAAUAAUCUUCCCCUGAAGAAAAUCAAUGCAUACAACAUAUUCUCUGGCUUGUUCAUGGGUUGCCUGCUUCUUCCCCGAUAGAUGACAACCUCUCUGAGCACAAGAUUCAUUCACUGCUCGGUCCCCCCACUCCUAGAAUCGUGCAUGAAAUUUAGUAGGAGCUCAAUAAACA
rnacentral:lncRNA from 1 species